rnacentral:rRNA from 1 species
GAUGAACGCUGGCGGCGUGCCUAAUACAUGCAAGUCGAGCGAACAGAUGAGGAGCUUGCUCCUCUGACGUUAGCGGCGGACGGGUGAGUAACACGUGGAUAACCUACCUAUAAGACUGGGAUAACUUCGGGAAACCGGAGCUAAUACCGGAUAACAUUUUGAACCGCAUGGUUCAACAGUGAAAGACGGUCUUGCUGUCACUUAUAGAUGGAUCCGCGCCGCAUUAGCUAGUUGGUAAGGUAACGGCUUACCAAGGCAACGAUGCGUAGCCGACCUGAGAGGGUGAUCGGCCACACUGGAACUGAGACACGGUCCAGACUCCUACGGGAGGCAGCAGUAGGGAAUCUUCCGCAAUGGGCGAAAGCCUGACGGAGCAACGCCGCGUGAGUGAAGAAGGUCUUCGGAUCGUAAAACUCUGUUAUUAGGGAAGAACAAAUGUGUAAGUAACUAUGCACGUCUUGACGGUACCUAAUCAGAAAGCCACGGCUAACUACGUG